GCUCCAUAUUGUAUUCAUGGAGAUCCAUUGUAAAUUGGAAAAUUGACAGAAUGUCAGAAAACCAAAUACUUGAUCUAAUGAAGCAUAUGACUAUGUACGCAAUGGCAUGCAAGGUUAGCGGAAAUCAAUACCAAGAGAUAGCCAAAGCCAUUAUUUGUGGAUUUACAGGAUGGCUAAGGCGAUGGUGGGAUUUCCUUAUGGAAGAAAAU
rnacentral:lncRNA from 1 species